UGCUCCGUGCACCGUCCCACCCACCAAUGCACAAAGGAAAAAUAAUGCUUUUGCAGCAUGUAAGUGUUCAAGUCUGUAGUUUGUGCUCAGGCAGUGCAAUGCGGCUGUGAGUCAGAUUUUAUCUGAGCCAGUGCCAAAUGGCCACCAGAGGAUUUAAUUUGUCAAUAAGCUGCACGAAUGCCCAGGCCACCUCCAUCUGCUGCUGUGACAGAACACAAUUAACAGGAAAAUCCCAGUUCAAUCUUUGGAGACUUAAAGUGCUCACUCAAAUGCACUGAACAAGAGGAAUGCUUCAGCUCCAAUCAGCUCCUGUCUUCUUUGGAAAUGCUGGCCCUGAGGCACUAUGCAAUAACCUGUGAUCAGGAUCCCAGUUAUGUGCUGGAUAGGCAGCUGAAGAAGCUCCUAGACCUGUCUUUCUAAGAUUUGGACAGAGCCUAUAGAUAAGCAUGAAAGUCGAUCUGUUGGUGAAAGCUCUGGAGAGGUGCAGAGACAGGGAGGAAACGAGCUCCCCUUGCGAUUAAAACUGUUGAAACAGCUGUUAUCUGGUAGCUGCUCUCACCGGGCAGUUUCCUGAUGUCAGUCAGCGGCUGUGGGGCUGCAGCAGCAAUUGGAGCCUGAGGAGAGGCAGCCGCACCCCGGCUGUCCCCACACCCUGAAGGAGCUGCCCACGUUGUGCAGUGAACCCCAUUGCACAAGGGGUGAAUCCGGGCACUGCAGCAAUGGAGACACAGAACCCACUGUCGAAAGCCAAUGAAUGCUGAAAUUAAGACACUGCUGGAAAGUUGACCGAAGCGAGGGUCUGCAUUUAAAAAACAGAAACAGAGCACCUUCACCACCUAAUGGGAAGGUGGAUGAGGAUAAGAUGAGCAAGGUAUGUAGUUCAAGGUGGUUUGACCAGUACAGGAAACUUGCUGGGGGGAGGAGGGAAGGCCUUGAGUGAGGUGGUCUCAGUCUCCAUGUACAAGAACCAGAUGUCCUCUGCCACCAAGGUGAGUGCUGAGCAGAUGGAGCAGGGUAGGUGGGUGGAGGACAGCACAGGCAGAGUGACAUCCCAGGAUGGCAUCUGUGCCCACCAGUCUGGGAUGGAGAAGCCUUACCAUCUUUGUGGAGCUGGAAAUGGGAAUAGAAAGCCCCUUGGGCUGAGAAAAGCUUAGGAACAGCUUUCAAGGCUUGGAGGCACACAGCUUAACCUCAGAUGAAAGGGACUGUAACCACUAAUGUCACUCUUUUUGCUGUCAAAGCAAACAAGCAUUGUGUAGGUUUUCAGCAAUCACAUUCAGCAGCACAGGGCUGAGGGUACCAGCUCAGGGCCACUGAAUCCACAGAGCUGAAGAGUCCAGCUUAGAUUAGGACACAUUCAAAGGAAAAAAAAAGGAGUGAGAAAAAGAUCAGGUCAACCCAAUCCUGCAACAGCCACUGAACUGCUAACCACUCCAUCUGGCUAACGGAAUGGAGGGAGGGUUUGCAAAUCCAGCCUGAGUUGCCUAAUUCCUUAGCUAGAAAGCACCUCUUUUAGGCACUGAACAGUGACAAAAUGAACAAAGCAAGUCACUGGUGUUGGGUUGUAUUAUCUGCAAGCUUUGGCAUUUUCCAGCCGAAUGGUUGCCACUUCUUCCUCCCCAGCCCACUGCUGCUAUUAUUUUUACAGCAUGACUGUUGAGGAGUGUAUCAUUCAUAACAUACCUAUCACAGAGAGAUUCCUUUUUAAAUGCUUAGGGAGAUAGAAGGCUACAAACCCUGGGAAAUCAACUAUGCCUAAUAUAUUAUGUAGAAGUUCUGUAAUCAUUAUUGAACUAAAGUGCAUUGAGUAAGUGGAUAAAAUCAGUCCCACUGUAGCAUAAGUCUCCAGAGAGCACAGAUAAAAAUGCCUGGUACUUAAGUAGAAAAGGUAACAAAAUAUUUCCAGUCCCAGCAACUGCAUUUUCCCCUUUAUAUAAAUAGGGAACCCUCAGGAGAAGGCAAUGAUGCAGCAGAGGUUGAAGGCAAAGUUAAUGGUGGCGCAGUGGGGGAGCGAGGCAGUGCCUGGGGCAGGCUGAUGAUGAGUAACGUGCCGUGGAAAUGAGGCCGAAGGCAGAGCUUCAAUAGCAAGGAGGCAGAGGGGUGCAGACAGGCCCCCAUACAAAGCUAUGGGGCAGGGGGGGGGCUGGGAGGGUGCAGAGAAAAGUCACAGCCCUACAGCCUCUAGAUGAGCCCGGUACAAUGUUUGAGCUCCUCUUUCCUCUUAAAACUGCUGAGAAGUGAAUGUUUUACCAAGGAUUCACCUUGAGGCUUGCUUUCUAGAGCUUGUCGUGGCUCCUGCAUGGAGCGACACAGUUUCCCACUCCAACACAAACAUACGUCUGCAGAUUUGUGCCUAUUGAGCUGAGUUGUUACCUUUGUACAAACCCUCCUCACCACCACAUUUAUCUUGUGGGAUAAUCUGUGCCCAUUCAGAGCACUCCUGUAUGUAGCCAAACCGAACCAGUCCUUGCCUCUCCCAUACACAUGGUCAAGAGCUGUCAGAUUGCAGUGAAUCACCCCAACAUGGUGUACCAACUGCAAUGCCACUGAAACCCCUGGAGGGCCUGGCUUACCACGUAAGGCAAAGCUUGCUGUGAAUAAAUGGGGGAUAAUUGGAGCUUCAUAUACUUCACCUUCUGCAACAAAGGAGGAAACAAAGACUUUCACUCUCCUCACCUUAUAGGACAUACAGGACAGCACUUGCUCUAUAUUUCAAGAAACGCUUACGUGAUCGUCUAUUAGAUUUCUUUUUUCCUGAGAUCUUCAGACAUGCAUCCACAUGUAUGAUGAAGAAGUUAAGAAGAUCAUAAAUUGAAAAUAAUAGGAAGGAAAAAUAAGUCAGAGCAUUUUAUUUGCUGUUCCUGCUGUAGGCCUACACAAAAAGCCACCUAGAACUGCAGCCCCUGAUGUUAGGCUGCAACCUGGGUAGACAUCAGCAUUCAAGUCCUGGAAUGACUAUAUUCAAGUUUUCUAAGAUGUGUGCUCUUUCACAUGACCUGCCAAUCAUAUUGGAGCAGUGCCAUAAGCUCCGGACUAGCUGUAUCCUCAGGGGCACUAAGGAGAGGAAAACAGAGGAGAGUUGUGGGGUUGGAACCAUUACUUAUUUAUCUAAAGUAUUGACCUGACCUCCCCUACUGAAAUAUCAGCAUUAGCUGCUAGGGAAAAGGGAUGCCAGAGCAGAUCCUUCUGGGAAAUCGGGGAAGCAGAGAUGUCAAAUAAGGCCCAAAUCAGGCUGAAUCCCAUGGAGAUAACAGGAGAUGGUGAGGGGGAUGAGGGACACAACACAGGCGGGGAGGUGGCAACCAAAAGGGCCAGAUAUCUUGCUGAAGCUGUCUGGCAGACUAUGUAACAGCGUGACUGAGAUGUACCCAUAGUGAAUGGGAUGAACUUCAAAUGUUCAUGAUAAGUCUUCGUGCAAUUUUACCACAAUGGUAAUGAAAUGUGUUUGUAAAAGGAGGAAGCAAAUAGGAAGCGUUGCUUAAUGUCAUAAUGAAUGGAACUGAAGAAGAGAAGGGCCACAGCUCUGAGAUGAGAUGGGUGGUGCUCUGGAGUGCCCAGUGUGGUCUCUGAAGUAAGCAUCCAGGCCCAAGUGAAGAAAAGAGAGAUUGAAAUGGAAUUGGGGAAAACAAAGUUACUGGGAUUCUUCAAGACAAGGAGGGCAUGUCUCCUGGAGUCAGCACUGAAGCACUGUCUUACUUAGCCACCAGCCAAGCAGACUUAUAGUGACAGCAUUUGUUUUUUGUGUGCCUAACACAGGAGAAAAGAAAAGUAAAUUGCUGGUGAAUGAUGAAUGUAUAUAACAUUUGCCAUGUACCAGAAUAACAAGUUUCAGUAACAGCAUCCCUAAAAAGAAAAAAAGAGGCAAUGAGGGUAAAUAAAACAAACCAUUCCUAAGAUGAAGUGGAUGUGCUUCUGAAAAAGCCUGGACAAGUUGGACUCUGAUAAAAUACUUCUAGAACUACUGUCCCAUGAAACAGGAGGGGUACAGAGCUGAGGUGGGAGCCAGGGACUCCAAGAUGCUUCCAACCAAUUGUUAGUGCAGCAGCCUGGUUUGUAUAAGAGGAUGGGUGAACAAGGGGUAUAAAGCAGAGAGGAACAGAGAAAAAUCAAGCGCAUAACAUAAAAUAUGUCUUCAUCUAACCCAUGAAAUAGCAGAAGAUCCACAAACUGUGAUGCUAAACAGCCUUAUGUAAGUGAUUACAUGAAGCAGCUGUAACACAAGCCUGUAGAUAUGGAGAAGGACUCCAAAGGGAGUAAAUAGAAAUACAGACAAGGCCAGGAAGCUAACGGUGAAGGUAGGUUGCUUUGCUGAGGAUUCUUUAAACAAAGAAACAAAAAAAUUAGAGGCAUUUCCAUACAAAAAUACAACCAAUUCCAUUGCCAGGCAAACUCUCACUGGAUCCAAAAGGCUGAAGCAAAACUCUGGUUCUAGACAGAGAACCAUUCCAUAAUCUACAAGGAGGCUUCACAUUCUGAGUUUUUUAAGACUGCUUUUUAGCUACACAAGGCCUUAUUUCCAGAGAGCAGAGAACCUCUGGCUGCAGGGAGAGCUGCCAGAAUCUACACUACACCAAAAGGGUCUUAAAAGAAUUAUCCCAGGCAGAAGAAGCAGAUUUCUCUUGAAGACAGAAUAAGCAUGGGGCCAACAGCUCUCUUUUCCUCUAGCAAAUACUGGGAUGAGCCCACUAAUAUUCAAGAGGUAGCCAGCACUUUGCAUUGCAAGAAGCAACAUUCAGCUGCUUCUAUUUGCAGCAAUUUUAAAUUUUCUAAGUGUAACGCUACAAUGGGAUGGAAAGUAGUGCAAUAGCAGCAAUGUGGCAAAGCCUUUGGCUACAGCAAGUGAGAACAAGCCCAAAAGCAGCAGCCAGGGAUAAAGAAAUGAAGUAAAACAUCGCUUACCUUUGCAAGGCCACAGGUAGGUAGGAAUCUCCAGCAAGAGAUACCCUUAGCUCCACUGCCAACCCUUAAAUGAGGUAUGGGAGGGGGUGGAUCCUGGCUCCACCCCUUCUGGCCACUCAGCUACAUUGCACACACCUGGGCUCCCCUGGGCCUUCCUACCAGGUGCUCAAUCACUGCUUCAGGCCAUGACUCAGCAUUGCUGCUAUGCUAAGUAAAUUUUAUUUUAAUUUAAACUGAAAUCCCAAGUCCCUAUUUCUACCAAGGAAUGCUCAGAGCUUUGCAUUGGGCAUGGCAUAUAAAGGUUUUAAGUUUUCCCCAAAGUCUUCUGUAUGACAGCUACUUGAGGACCAGUUGGGUGCCACUGUGUCAAUCAUCCUCAUCCCAGAAGUAAAAUCCUUUAUCAUCCUCUCCCACCAGAGAAGUACAAAAUGAGAUCAAAGAUAAUAGAUAUGUCAUUUAGUAAUGGUAGUAGAAUAGGAACACUUUAAAGGAGGGUCCACCAUGGUCAAGGAGCUACUUGCAGCUCAACGUGCUUUGAUGCAGUUCUUGGAGCUGGCCGUCUGUGUAACUGAAGACCUGGUCCAGAGCGCCUAAGGGCAAUGGAUGUGUUGCCAUUGACUCAACUGAUAACAAGGUGAAAUCUUAUCUCCCUGCAGUGAAUCUGAUAUGCCUUUGUUCUGUACUUCACCAUCACUAUGUUUAGAGGGCCAGCUCUUUGCAGCUGGGUACCUAAACCUAGAUAUACUCCUGAAAUCCACCAGAUAUACAGGUGAGCUCUUCAAGCAACUGACAGAGUAAAACAGUAGAAAUAGUAAGAAUAAUGAUACGAUGGUGAACAGACAGCACUGUGAGUGAGGAUCCUUUGAAAUCCAUUAGCAACAGAAUAAGAGGAGUUUCAGUGCGCCAGAGUUUGCUGUGUUUCAUUGUGUAAUUCCACGAAGUUCUGCUUCUCCUUCAUUUCAGAAAGACCACUCAGCAGCCUCUGGCUUCUACGUUUUAGUUUUUCUCAUCUACUAGCCAGAAAAAGAAACACACAACUAGGAGCUGUAUUCACAGACAGGAAGUAACUUUAAUUAAAUAUUGUGAAAGUUGAAAAGUUUUUACAGCUUGAGUUUCUGCAAAAAAAUUAUAACAAUCUCUACAGUAGUUAGUUUCUCUAACAAUAGAACUGUACAGUGUGUGUGUCUAUUCAAAAAGAUUUAGAUAAGAAGGUGAAAGGUUAGUAGGUUCAGAGAUGACUUCAUUUUAGCUGCAUUCUAGUACAACUGUGAGGAAAUAGGCAUACUUGAUGCAAUCCAGUCUUUGUGAAGCUUCACCUUUUUAAAACUGAAAUCUGGACGUUUCCACUUAAAGCCAUAUUCUGUAAACAGCUGCAUCUUUUACUUUGUAAAAGAUAAGAGUGGUGUGGGGCCAGGGGGAAGGGGGGGGGCGUUAUAAAGUCCCAUUGAACAGACCACUACAAAUAGCUGCAACAAAACAAAAUGAUGCACACUGUCAGAGGAUCUUUGGACACUGGCGUAGAAGACUACAAACAUAGAUGGCCAACACUGCUGUAAAAAUCGCUAUGACUUUGAGUGGAGCUCUACAAGAGUAAUUGAUGGUGUCACUGGACAAAAUAUGGCUUUAAAUUUGAUUACACUGUCGUGCUGUUGCUUACUAUGUGAAUUAGAAUAACCGCUUGGAAUACAGAGAAGCAAUAAACUGAUGUCUCUCACAUUUUCCAGUUUUUUCUCCUUUUAUUUUCUCACCAUGAAAAAAAGUUCCUGCUUUCUUCCCUUCCCCUAAAUGAUCACACUGUGACAUUCUAGUGAAAACCAUUGCAAAAUCCGUACAGGAAGCAUGCACAGUUGCAGCAUCGUUGUAAAUGAUUUCUUGCUCGACUAGAAAAAAGUUAUAUUGUUUUAAGGUAACAAAACAGUUCUUUUGUGCUUUUCAAUUCCUUUUUUUUUUUUUUUUCUUAGAAUGUUAGUGAUGAUUGACAGUUCUGGUGCACAGUACAAUGUACAGGUGAAAUGAAUAUGAUUUGCAUUGUUAAGGCAUCCAAUCUGCUGGUUUAUAUUUAUGUGAAAGACAGAGAAAUAUACAAGCAGACUUAAGAAAGAAAGUAUUUUCAUUGAGUUCUAU
rnacentral:lncRNA from 1 species